UUUUUUUUUUUUUUUUUUUUUUGGGAAAAAAGGACAGCUAGAGUGGGCUAUGGAAAUCUUUGUCGUUUAUCGUAAUUUAGUGUUUCUCUUACAGAUCAUUACACGCAUGCUUGGCACAAUAGACGACCUUGACGUUACUACUUAGGAUUUAGCCAAAGUCAAUUUGGAAGGUUUUUUAAUGCUUCCUUUAUUAGUUCUAACAGUUUGUGGAUUUUGAAGAUUUAUGUUACUAAUUUUCACUGCCUAAUAUCACAUGUCAUGUGAAAGGCUACAGGAGGACGAAAGAGUUAGCUUAUUUUUGAUGGCGAGGCUAUGUCGAAAAAUUACUAGGUUCAAUUAUCACAGAUAGUGAUUCUCUCUCUUCCAGUACUAACCAUCAUAUGAAAGAGUUGUUGGAAUGUGGAAUUGUAGAUUUUGGCAGUUUUGCUGAUCAUUUAUGCUUUGAGAAAUUUUGUUCCUUGACUUCUUUGAUAUGAUUUUUUUCUUUUAAUCUCGUAAAAUUUUCAUUUUCCUUUUCCCACAUUGUAAACUCAAUCUCUCGGCUUAGGUGAGUUCUACCUGUUAAAGUUGCGUCCUUCCAACCCAUGACCCCACAUGAGAUAAUCAUCUUGAGAUGUAUCAAGUCGAUUCCAGUUGGUUAUGUUUGUAAUUGUUUUAGUUGGUCGGGAGCUUACACUUUUUAUUUAAGUUUUUUAAGCUAAAACUUUGAUGAUUUUAUGUUUUAUGUUUUCUAUUACAAGGCAGGUGAACAUUGUUUUUACUCUUUUUUUUUUAAAAAUUUUUUUCAUGUGUACUUUGCAGGUAAGUGGUCGCAUAAACAACUUCUCCAAAGCCAGCCAACACUGUUAUGGAUCAGCGAGGGCAUGGGCAGCAUUCUGCAGCAGGUGAGGUUGGAAGUACGGCUCCCGUCCCAUAUGGCAUAUCAUCGUAUCAACCUAACCAGAUGAUGGGGCCUUCUGCCACUGGAUCACUUCAAUCUGCUGCUCAGCCAUCAGGUGUCACUGCAUCUCAAGCUCAGCUUGCUCAGCACCAACUUGCUUAUCAGCAUAUCCACCAGCAACAGCAAGAACAACUACAGCAGCAACUCCAGACUUUUUGGACUAAUCAGUACCAAGAAAUUGAGCAGACAGCUGAUUUUAAGAAUCACAGUCUGCCAUUGGCUAGGAUUAAGAAGAUUAUGAAGGCAGAUGAAGAUGUAAGGAUGAUAUCAGCUGAAGCUCCAGUCAUAUUUGCCAGAGCCUGUGAGAUGUUCAUUCUGGAAUUGACAUUGCGGUCUUGGAAUCACACAGAAGAGAACAAAAGGAGGACACUCCAAAAAAAUGAUAUUGCUGCAGCAAUUACUAGGACUGAAAUUUUUGAUUUUCUAGUUGAUAUCGUGCCAAGAGAGGAUUUGAAAGAUGAAGUGCUAGCAUCGGUCCCAAGAGGGAGUCUUCCGGUUGGAGGCCCAGCUGAAGCUAUCCCUUACUAUUACAUGUCACCUCAGUUUGCACCGCAGGUCGCUGCUCCUGGAAUGAGUGUUGGUCAGCCUGUGGUGGAUCAAAAUCUGUAUGGCCAACAGACUCGUCCUUAUGUUACACAGCCAAUUUGGCCGCAGCAACAGCAGCAGCCACCUUCGGACUCUUGAGCAAACAGUACAUUUCCAGUGGUUAAAAACCUGAGGAGCACAUUGUUCGUCUUAGUUUUUGUUCGUCUUAGUUUUUGUUUGGAACUUUUGUCUUUUUUUUUUUAAUGGAAGUUACAACAUGCUUCAGGUUAAUGGUUUCGAUGUUUUCUUUUUGUUAGGUUAUAUAGCGAAGAACAUGGAUUCUGCUGUUGUAGAUAAUUUUGUUGGUCAUAUAAGAUCAAGAUUUCGCAGUUCUUUUA
rnacentral:misc_RNA from 1 species